ensembl:snoRNA
AUGCCCUUUCAAGGUUGAUGCACUGCUUUAAGAGACUAACACAGAAGGGUAAAGUCUCCAUAAAACCCAAAGAAGAGAUUGUAAAAUUCCUCUUUGGAUCCUGUCUGAAGUCAGAGCU